rnacentral:rRNA from 1 species
AGAAUCAACGCUGGCGGCGUGCCUCAGACAUGCAAGUCGAACGAUUAAACUUUCCUUCGGGAAAGAUAUAAAGUGGCGCACGGGUGAGUAACACGUAGAUAAUGUACCUUUGGGUGGGGAAUAACAGUCGGAAAACGACUGCUAAUACCGCAUAAUGCACCAGCAUCGCAAGAUGCAGUUGUUAAAGAAGCAAUUCGCCUAAAGAGCAGUCUGCGGCAGAUUAGCUAGUUGGUAAGGUAAUGGCUUACCAAGGCUACGAUCU